GUAUUUGAUUUAUAAAGGCACAAAGGCCAAUUUAAAGACAUUCUGUUACAUUCAUGGGGUGUAUAUGAAGACGUAAACUAGGAACACAAGGGAAAGCUGGCUUUUUCGCACAGCAGGCCCCUCAAACCGAGUUUCCUCGAGAGAUAUUCCAUGUCUACAAAAGGUGCACAGGUGGUAAAAAUGGUGCUAGGUGUGCACAUGCUCCAAAGAGCCAGCAGCAACCCAACCAAGUUUAUUCAAUAAUGAUCCUUCCGCAGGUUCACCUACGGAAA
rnacentral:misc_RNA from 1 species